AUGCGCAGACUGGUCUGGAUCCAUGCUGGUCGCAAACCCACUAUGUUGGUUUUCUCAUGGCACGGCUCAUUUGAUGUCUUCUGUAUAUUUUGGUCCAUUCAAGUAUGUUUGGGGCAUUAAUCCAUCAGUAAAGGGAGGGGAAGAGGGUGGGGGUAGUAGGACAUAAUUAUAAGCAACAGAUUGGAUAGAAGCUGUGAAAUUUCAGACAGCUAUUCUAUUGAGGGUAUGUUGUGGUGGAGAUUCACAUUACCAACAUUGAAUACAAAGAUUAAUUUCACGUACUGAUUCUUUUAUUUUUAAAUUCUCAAUAAUUAGCAAGUAAUUUUACAAACAAAAUCUUUAUAAUAUAAUUUUAACGCACCUUUGUCCAAAGUAAAAGACUGUACUUUCCUUUUUGUAAUUUCCUAAACGAAUCUCAAAAAAGCAGCUAAUAACAUGUGUAUUUAUAAGGCAUUUUCCCGCCGAAAGACAAAAUUGUUCAAGAAAAGUAUGAAAAUCAUGAAAAUUGUGAAUUUUUCCCGCCUUUAAAUUGAUAAUAAUGAGGAGCAAAGACAUGUAACAAAUAUUAUGUAAUGAGAGGAGCAAAUAAUACAGAAUAGUUACAUAUUAACAUUUGUUCAUUAUCCUUCAAUAUACUGACAUGUAAAUGCUUACAAAUGAAUGUACUCUUAUACAUAAACUUUCUCAAAAUAACUUCAUUACGUCAAAGUAACAUUUAAACAAAAUACAAAAAUAUUGUGUAUUUCACGACAUAUGUCAGGGUCUUUUCCUCUAAUUCCUGGUUGCUUUUUAGCUUACUAGCAGUUAUUAAGACUUUUACUGUGCAUAAACCUAAUAAUCUGAAGAACUAGGUCACGUGGACAUUCACCUAAAACAAAACAAUCUGCAAUAUUAGAAUAUUUCAUUAAUCAUGAAUUGUUUGCACUUACCACAGGCAAUUUAAUGCUACACACAAUAUUACAUGAUAAUCAUUCAGAAGAAAGAUAAAUAGCACUUUAAAACAAAGAAAGAACUGCUUUCCACCAUCUUUAAUGCAGCAUCGAAUUAUGGUAGCUUUCUGCAGUCCGAUUGGUCAAAUUAUGGUAGUGGAAUUUGUUGUAGUUGUCUUGCCAACAAUUGGUCAGGAUAACCACAACACCUUCCACAAUUUAUAUGGACAAAUCGGUGAUGGGGAGCACUGGCUGCAAAGGCCGAAUCACUUGUAGCUAGCAGGCUAAGGGUUAUAUGUUUACAGAUAAAAUUUCAACAGUCUGCCAAAUAAUGACUGACCAGUUAAUAUCCCAGACCUCUAACAGUUCCCAUUGAGCAAAUUCAAUCUAACAUCUCAUUAUGAUGAUAUCAUAUUCUAUACCUAACUGAUUAGACCAAAUAAAAGAUUUAGUGUAAUUCUCAUAUAAAACAUAAUAUUAUAUCAGUACAUAUCACUUUUUUUCUGUAUACAUAUAAAUGUACAUGUAUUCAGGAUUUUUUUUUUCACUGCAAUCCAUGCAACACAAGAAGCUGAUAAAGUAUUUACUACUUUAGAAAAUUAUUGAAUCCUUGAAUGUUUGGAAGGUGUCUAUCAACAGGUCUCUAUUUUAGCUGAUUUAUGGGUUUCCUGUUUGAGGCUCUAUAUUUUCAAAACAAAUCUGUGAGGGUUGGGGGUGGUAUGUAAAAUAGAGAGUUGGGAUGAUACUCUAUGGAUUAAUUUAUUAUGGCCAUGUUUAAAGUACAAACACAACAGUUGUAAUUCAACAGGCCUAAAAUCCUUUAGAAGCACAACUUGCUUAUACCGCAAUUUAUAUUUGUUACAGUUAAGCUAUUAUAUCUUUGGCAUAAUGUGUCUAGCUUUAAAAGUAAAGUCAAACUUGUGCCAAUGACCAACUCUGAAUAAAAAGCAGUUCCAAAUAAAGAUCAUUUCAGAAUAAAGACUACCUCCGAAUAAAGGCCACAACUACUAUAUACUUGAAAGGUCAGUGUGUUUUCUUUCUGUUAAAUUACAAGCAGUACAUUUCUACUUGUUAUGCCAAUUCACAGGUUAACAUUUCUCUUUCUUGGUCAUCAUAAACAUUUUUGGCUGUCUUUAUAAAAAUUAAAGCUUGAAUAAGAAUUUAUUCUGAACAGAAUAAGAAGAAUUUUAAUAGCUGUUCUGACCUUAACUUUGCUGUUGGAAUCCCUGUUAAACUUAAAUGCACUUACAGAUAGUCAAAGUAAAAAAGAGAUUGUUAUUUUCAGAUAGACUUUUUCAAGUGAAAUAAACUGGAAAUGUUUGAUUCAGAACUGAAACUAUUGGUCUUUAGGGCCAGGUGGCUGCUUUGCAGAGGUAGUCUUUAGCACAGGUUUGACUGUUUAAUAUCAUUAGUCUGUUUAGAUUAUUUUUUAAUGGUGCUUAAGUUCUGUUUUGCGUAUUAAGUUAUUAAAAUAUUUGUUUCAGACUUUUGCAUUGGUAGAUGUGUCAAAAGACUAAAAACACAAAUGUUCAUAGUAUUGUUUUGUUUUUUCAACUUUAAGGCUUGUUUGCUUUGAAAGUCUGCCCAUUUAGCACAGUAGGUGUGACAAAGACUUAUAGGAUGACAGGUUAAUAGGUUAGAUCUUUGUGAGUGGCGUAUGUUGUACCACAGUUUGAUGGAAGACAUUGUGUCUCAAGUCAUUUACCCACCACCUCUUAGACAUGUUGAGAUUCUGGAUAAUAAGUCAAUACUUUCACUGAAUCCAAGAACACUAGUUCAUUUACUGUUAAUCAAAUAUCUUGUGCAUGUAAUUUUGUAGUUUUGAUCAAAAUGGCCUUUGUGGGAUAAAAUUUAUAAGAAAUUCUUUUGUUUGAUAGGAUUUUGAUUCUUGGAUUAAUGAAACUGUAAAAUCCAUAAAAAUUAGUACCCCAUGAAUAUUAAUGCUUUGACGGUGACCAACUACCAUACAGCUAAAAAGCAGCAUUUAACAAAGAUUGGUUGCUUUGAGGACUUGCAAUAGCAAAACCAAAAUGGACAACAUGAAGAUAAAUUACAUUUAGAGAAUGAAGCCUUUGGUAUUGAUGGACGAGGUUAAUGUCAAUGUUGUUUAGAACUGGUUUAACUGAUUGAAUAAUUACAGUAUAUCAGUUAUGAAUAUGUCUGGUAGUGUGAAGGUAUACAAAAGAACAGUUUCAUAUCACAGUUUUUGAAGUGUAGUUAGGAUUGUGUCUGAAAUCAUUAGUCCUCCACCUCUGAUUCAUGUGGGGAAGUUGGCAGUUACUUGCGGAGAACAGGUUUGUACUGGUACAGAAUCCAGGAAUACUGGUUAGGUUAACUGCCCGCCGUUACAUGACUGAAAUACUGUUGAAAAACGGUGUUAAGCCCAAAACAAACAAACAAAACAAACAAAGGACUGCCCUACCCAAGUGGUUUUGGUUAUUGACAUCGAGUAUUUGCCAGUGUAGGUACGAGCCGAAGGCAUUAGGUAUGGUACAUAUGCCUCACUAGUAGCGAAAGUCUUCAUUCUGUUUUUACCAUGUCUGUGUUGUGGAAAGAGGCAUUUAUGCUGGAUACAAUGCAAAAAAAAAGCAUGCUUAUGAAAUUAUGCUUUCUGUGAUAAUAUAAGUUGAUUUAAGUCGUAUGUGUCUUAUUAAAGCAAUGGGAAUGUUGAUUAAAUAUUAACUCUUAUUUGAGUAGACUAGGUUUUUUUUCUAUUAUUGUAAGUUGUUACACGUUUUAUGUAAGUUGAUAAGCGUGUAGGUUUAUAACACUGUUCAAAGUUUGAAGCCAGUAUAGUUCUAGGAAUGUUAGCUAUUUUUCAGUAAUAUCAUACAUGUACCAGGUAACUGUUUAGAACCCUGGAGUAUUACGGUCAUUGAAUUUUAAAGUGAUUUUGACUUUUUAAAAGGUACCCGUAAGAUGAAGACGGAAGACUUCGUGGAGAAAAUCAGACCAAUCUUUGGUCAUUUAGGAAAUGGUUUAAGAUAACUAAAUGUACAGCGAUACUUAGACAGUUUUUGUGGUUUCAUCAUAAAAUCAAUCAUUUUUAUGUCACAAAUACGUGCCGAUAAAACAAAACUUAAUUCCUUUUUGCAUUAAAUUUGAAGGAAUGUUGUAAUAUUUUUAUGGGAAAGUGCAAUAUGUAUAAAUAGUUGGUCGUAUAUAUUAAAAUAAAUGAUGCACUAACGUGUAGAGUUAUCAGAUUUUGUCAAAGAGUACAAUGAAGGACACAUACAAUAAAUUACAUAUAUACUGUAUGAGUUGUACCUUGGAUGUGUUCUAUCCUACCUUGAGCUUUAUGGGAAGAUUCAGUGCCCAUAUUCUUCAAUGUUCAAAAGUCUCACACUUAAAGAUGAUGAAUUUUCAGUUUGCCACAACUUUAUUUAUAGCGUAACUAUUCUGAUGAAUGUUUGCAGGGAUGUCUUAAUCUUGAAUCUGCAAAGUUUUGUAGAGUUUCAUCACUAUCUGUGCUUAUUUGACAAUGACAGAGAAAAUAAAUUUAAAUUUAACAUUCAUAAGGUGCAGACUUAAAGCAUUGAUGAAUCUGGGCCCUUGAACCUUUUGAUUAUUGUAGAAAGAAAUUUUUAUUAUAUCUUUAGAAAAAAACUUAAAGCCAGAUAAACGCAUACGAAAUAUCUUUUUGAGCAGUAUAUAAUAAAUUAUGUGCUUUAUAAGGCCAGUACUUUAUAUUAGUGCAACAGAAUAUAAUAGAAAUAUUGGUAAAAACCACAUUAAUGGGCUUAGCGCAAAACGGUCGUAACUUAUAUGAAAUAAAGAAGGAGUUACAACCGUUUUGCGCUAAGCCCCCGAUUUGCCUGUUAAAAGGUGCAAUACAUAGUAUUACAGAAUUAGUUAAGUACACAGGCUGAAUCAUUAUAAAAUAGCCAUAUAUACAUCAAAUAAGGUAUCAUCUGUUGUCAAAGUAGAUACGAUUAUUUGAUUUUCAGAUUUAUUACCGUACUAGGAAAGUUUGCAUCCUGCAAAAUUCAGUUAAUUCAUAAACUUUUAGGUGUGGGCUGCAAGUUGAUUUACUAAGAUCACAUUCCUGGAAUGUUUAGUUUUGAUUGUCUUGUAGGGCAUUGUGAUGGCUUAGAAUUAAUCAUACAUGUAUGGAAUAUUACGUUUUUUACUGGCAAUGAAUUACAUGUUAUAACAUCAUUUUUCAUAAGUGAAAUUUGUCAGUAACUAGUAAGUAAUAACAUCUUUUUUGCAGAUGUGUAUAAGUUGUCACUUACCUGUAAGGAGUUGACUUUGUACAAGUUAAACAUGCCGUAUCUUAGUAUUCUGAAUGUACAUGUGACAUAGCACUUUAUCUCAUAAUAUUCAGCAUUAUUAAAUUUCAUCCCAAGUUCAGUAAACUUUACCACACAGUUCUGUAGAUUGUCACAAUUUUGUUCAUCAGAAAUUUAGUGUAAUUUAGAUUAUGCAACGUUUUUUUUCUUUUCCAAUCAGCAACUAACAAUUGCACCAUGUGACUGUAUAAUAUAUUUCCACAUUAUACACAUAUUCCAUAUCUUGGCAUGGCAACAAGUCCAGUGUUAAUUA
rnacentral:lncRNA from 1 species